CCUACGGGAGGCAGCAGUGGGGAAUAUUGGACAAUGGGCGAAAGCCUGAUCCAGCCAUGCCGCGUGAGUGAAGAAGGCCUUCGGGUUGUAAAGCUCUUUUGUUGGGAAAGAAAAGCAAUCGGUUAAUACCCGGUUGUCCUGACGGUACCCAAAGAAUAAGCACCGGCUAACUUCGUGCCAGCAGCCGCGGUAAU
rnacentral:rRNA from 1 species